UACAGAGGUCUCAAGCGUUGUUCGGAUUCAUUGGGCGUAAAGGGUGCGUAGGUGGCGCCGUAAGUCGGGUGUGAAAUUUCGGAGCUUAACUCCGAAACUGCAUUCGAUACUGCGGUGCUUGAGGACUGGAGAGGAGACUGGAAUUCAUGGUGUAGCAGUGAAAUGCGUAGAUAUCGGGAGGAACACCAAUUGCGAAGGCAGCUCGCUGGGACGUGACUGACGCUGAGACGCGAAAGCGUGGGGAGCAAACAGG
rnacentral:rRNA from 1 species